GUGCCAGCCGCCGCGGUAAGACGGAGGGUGCAAGCGUUGUUCGGAAUUACUGGGCGUAAAGCGCGUGUAGGCGGCUUCCUAAGUCCGAUGUGAAAGCCCGGGGCUCACCCCCGGAAGUGCGUCGGAUACUGGGAGGCUAGAGUACCGGAGAGGAGGGCGGAAUUCCUGGUGUAGCGGUGAAAUGCGUAGAUAUCAGGAGGAACACCGGUGGCGAAGGCGGCCCUCUGGACGGAUACUGACGCUGAGACGCGAAAGCGUGGGGAGCAAACAGGAUUAGAUACCCUGGUAGUCCACGCCGUAAACGAUGGGCACUAGGUGUCCGAGGUAUUGACCCCUUGGGUGCCGCAGCUAACGCAUUAAGUGCCCCGCCUGGGGAGUACGGCCGCAAGGUUAAAACUCAAAGGAAUUGACGGGG
rnacentral:rRNA from 1 species